rnacentral:rRNA from 1 species
UGGGGAAUAUUGCGCAAUGGGCGGAAGCCUGACGCAGCGACGCCGCGUGGGGGAUGACGGCCUUCGGGUUGUAAACCCCUUUCAGCAGGGACGAAGCUAACGUGACGGUACCUGCAGAAGAAGCGCCGGCUAACUACGUGCCAGCAGCCGCGGUAAUACGUAGGGCGCAAGCGUUGUCCGGAAUUAUUGGGCGUAAAGAGCUCGUAGGCGGUUUGUCGCGUCUGUCGUGAAAGCCCACGGCUUAACCGUGGGUCUGCGGUGGAUACGGGCAGACUAGAGGCAGGUAGGGGAGAAUGGAAUUCCCGGUGUAGCGGUGAAGUGCGCAGAUAUCGGGAGGAACACCGGUGGCGAAGGCGGUUCUCUGGGCCUGUACUGACGCUGAGGAGCGAAAGCGUGGGGAGCGAACAGGAUUAGAUACCCUGGUAGUCCACGCCGUAAACGUUGGGCGCUAGGUGUGGGGUUCUUCCACGGAUUCCGCGCCGUAGCUAACGCAUUAAGCGCCCCGCCUGGGGAGUACGGCCGCAAGGCUAA